rnacentral:rRNA from 1 species
CAAUAGCGUAUAUUAAAGUUGUUGCGGUUAAAAAGCUCGUAGUUGGAUUUCUGCUGAGAACGACCGGUCCGCCCUUUGGGUGUGUAUCUGGCUCUUUCUUGGCAUCUUCUUGGUGAACGUUGCUGCACUUGACUGUGUGGAGCGCUACCCAGGACUUUUACUUUGAGGAAAUUAGAGUGUUUCAAGCAGGCAUACGCCUUGAAUACAUUAGCAUGGAAUAAUAAGAUAGGACCUCGGUUCUAUUUUGUUGGUUUCUAGAGCUGAGGUAAUGAUUAAUAGGGAUAGUUGGGGGCAUUCGUAUUUAACUGUCAGAGGUGAAAUUCUUGGAUUUGUUAAAGACGGACUACUGCGAAANCANNNGCCAAGGAUGCUUUCAUNGA